UUAAAACUAUUAUCUACAGCGGAAAGAAAAGUGCAAAGAUCUAGAUUGCAAGGUGUGGGAUAAAGGCACAAAGGGUCAUACCCAAAAAGGGCUGAUUACAGUAAAGGUAGUUGUAAAGAUUACCUUAAAAUACUAAUUGCGAAUUGUCUUUUUUUUUUCCAGCUGUCAUUUCCUGGUACAUUAUUUGCUAUGGAAUGUAACUAAACUAAACUAAACAAGAAUGCUGCAUUAGGCAUCUCCAAAAAGCCACAACCACGAGUUUGCUCUAAUUGCCUUUUUAGAAUUAUUUUAACUGAUUCUAUCCCAUUUUCAAAGUUUCAUUCUGGUUGCUACUGGGCUCAACGAAAGUAAAGAAUUAAAUACGUGGUUAUGUUUAACACAUGAGGUGUUUCACGUUGCAGACACACUGCACUAUAUGCUCAAGCUCUAAAAUAUGCUACAAAGUGAUUGCAUCCAUAAACUCUUUUCGUAUUAAAGGUACCUCGAAGCCAUUUAUAAUGCUCUGUAACUAUCUGGUGGUUAAAAUAAUUCCCAAUUUAAAUAUUUUCUAACGUUUUAAUAACCCUAAUCGUUUCAAUUUGGGAGAGGAAGGGAAGAAGGAAGAGGGGUUAUGUUUGAUAGUCACUUUUGUUAUUUACACAAGUAAUAUUUUUCCUGCAUUUUACUUGUUUAUUCAAGUUUGCAAUAAAGUCCUGACUGCUAAUCUCUAUUUGCUGAGUGACAUUUUUGUUUGUUUGUUUCCCCUACGGUGAUAUUUGGGGAGGUAGCUUCUGAUGCAGCAUGACCCUGGGUGGUGUUAACAGUGACCGCAAAUGUCUUGAGCAUUUCCCAGCCCCAAAUGUUCCAAAUCCUCCCUGCUCCCCCACCCCCGAAAAAGUCAGUCAGUCAGUCAGAAAUGUUGUUAUUUUUUUUUAACUGACAGUGCAGCUAGAUUAAGCCACUUGAGCUAAAUCACAUCUUCCGCGCUGGUGCUUUACACAGUUUACUUUUUCCAACUGGAGAACCGCACAGACCCUUCUACCUCAAGUAAACUGUUGGAGGGGAAGGGGAAGAUGCCGUGAGGAAAUUUGCUGUCUAUUCUCCUGUGAUAGUUCAUCCGAACUGUAUGUCCUUGAUUCGCCACUAGAGGUCACUGGCCCAUCGCAGUCUUGCUGCACCUAGUUCCACCUCCAUUUCCUCUUACUCAAAUUAGCACUGCGUUAAUUAACACUGUAGUCCAUCAACGGGCGUUUCUCUGUACAGUACAGGAGCAGAGCUUAUAUAGACAAACCAAACCAAAUAUAAAAAGCACUUACCAAAACUCUUCAUCAUGUACAAAAUGGGAAGCGCACGUCUGAGUGACCGGGGGCAAGAUUCAGAUUAAGAAGAAGGAUCACAAGGGAUGGCAAUAAUCAAGAAAUGAAUAGAAGAUGGUCUAUGACUUAUGUUGUAGAGAAGAAUGACUGAAAUGACUGUUUGGAAUUAUUCUGGAAUUAGGCUAGAAUGAGGUCUUCUCUGCCAAUCUAAGGGCCUCAUUCCACAAACAAAUGUGGGAGAAACUUUACUUGAAUAAUUCACUUGAGAUCAACUGGGACUAGUCACGAAAAAUGAAGUUUAGAACUGACUCUUGACACGUGAUGCACAUUUGGCAGGAGGCCAAGGCGGAUCAGAAUAAACAACCCGAAGACAAUGCCAAAUUCAGGAAAAUAAAAGUAGCUUAAUAUGAUUUAAUACCAAUAAAGUGGUUAAGAUGAAGUUUCUUAAACUCUUUUAUGGAGGCUGGUUAACAAUGACAUGGAUUUUUGAGGAACAAUUCCAGAGCUUUGACUGAAUGAAAUAUUCUGAAACCAAAAGAAAAGCUUGGUCUUGAUUAUCUAUAUUACAGAUUAGCUUGAAGGAAAUAAUUAUUACCAAUCUGUACCAUAAUAGCUGUACUUAACUGCAAUGUAACAUUUAAGGUCUGUGGAGCAGGGGAUGUCUUUUUGUUCUGGGCCUGUACAGCAUGCAGCACAAUGAGGUUCUACUCCAUGAUUGGGGAUCCUAGAUGCUCCCAUAAAAUAAACAAUAAUACAGUAAUAAUAAUAUUUAUCUUAUUCUAUUUGGAUUGUUGCUUUAAUUUUAUUUUUGAUGAUUUAUCAUUAGCUCUUGGAGCUAAACUGUCAAAGGCUCAUAUAUCAGGUGUGCCACUCCCAAUGCAGAUAUAGUCCUAAGGCCUGACUCUCAUCUUGUAGAAAUAUAAGGCCCCAGUUUGGUAGUCAGAUAUGUGUGAACAGUACCUGGGGACUGUGCAGAGCCCACUGACUUCAGUGGAGGUCCAGACAGGCAUAAAAGUCAACCCACACAGAUCUGAUUGCAGGGAAGCAGCCUUCAAACAGAAGUGACUCUGCUGAAGUCAGAUGGAGUUAGACCUAGGUAAAACAGUGAUGUAAGCAAAAGGGGAAUAGGACCCAUAACACACACACAUGUGCACAUUCAGCCAAAGAAAUAAAACACCUGCAUGUGUAACCCACACACCUUCUGGGUGUGGUGUUCUGUCCCAUCUAAUGGCACUGAGAACACUUAAAGAGAGAGGUAAAAUGAGUCUUCUCUACAGCCUUAGCUAAGAGCCAGUUGUCUUUUAGCUCAUGUGGUAGAGGCUCAUGCACUAAGAUCCACGGUUCAAUCCUGCCCACCAAUGACAAGGGUCUGUUGGCAUUACACAUGCAUAUGAUACUGAGGGAUACGUAAUGGGUGGAGGACAUUUUGUGUCAUUUUAAAUAUGGCCAUUUUAAUCAGUCCAGUUGUUUACCGACAUCUCUUAGGUGUAAUGAACACAUAGAUAUCAAGGAAAUUGAAGUUGGUUCAUUAGAAACCUUUUCAUUUUUUAUAAUUUUAAAAUUACAAUCAACAGGAAAAACAUACCAGAUUCAUUGCUGAUAGGUGAAGUGUGACUUUUCCAAUAUUUUAAGAUUAUAUUUUAUUAGUUCAAGAAAAAUAUGGUUAUAGAAAAUAUAUAUUUACCACUCCUUAAAAGAUUUUGCAGAAUUUUCUGUCUUCUCUCUGUUUCUUUCACAUUAUAUUUUACCUUUUCUGAUAUUUAUGCUUUUUGUUUCACAUGUUCAGCAAUCACAAUAUAUCUCUUAUACUCAUGGUUUUCAAUCAAAAUAUAUUUAAAAUUGUAUUUAAUAAAUACCUUUAAAAUAGUGUCAACAGAAUUUUAUUUUUGUUGAUAUUUCUGCCUUCACUAUAUGUUGAAAUGUAAUUGGUUUGUUAGGGAUCAAUCCUACAUUCCUAAUUCAAGAUAAAACUUCCAUUGAAAUCAAUGAGAAGUCAAUUGUCUUGAUUUCAAGGUUGAGCCUUUAGCUUAGUUUUAUGAGUGUAACAGAGCCUUAAAUAAUUUUUCUUACCAUUGUCUGUCUGAACAUUUUGUCAGUAAUUAAUAUGUAUAAUUCCAAAUUUUGUAAUAAAAUAAAGUGCAUACAUUGUUAAGACA